AUUGAACGCUGGCGGCAUGCCUUACACAUGCAAGUCGAACGGCAGCACGGGUGCUUGCACCUGGUGGCGAGUGGCGAACGGGUGAGUAAUACAUCGGAACGUACCUUAUCGUGGGGGAUAACGCAGCGAAAGCUGUGCUAAUACCGCAUACGCCCUGAGGGGGAAAGCGGGGGAUCGCAAGACCUCGCGCGAUUAGAGCGGCCGAUGCCUGAUUAGCUUGUUGGUGGGGUAAAAGCCCACCAAGGCGACGAUCAGUAGCUGGUCUGAGAGGACGAUGAGCCCGACUGGGGGUGGGACACGGCCCAGACUCCUACGGGAGGCAGCAGUGGGGAAUUUUGGACAAUGGGGGCAACCCUGAUCCAGCAAUGCCGCGUGAGUGAAGAAGGCCUUCGGGUUGUAAAGCUCUUUUGUCAGGGAAGAAACACCGGCUCUAACACAGUCCGGGAAUGACGGUACCUGAAGAAUAAGCACCGGCUAACUACGUGCCAGCCGCCGCAGUAA
rnacentral:rRNA from 1 species